rnacentral:ncRNA from 1 species
GAAUUUCUCGUGUGCAUCGUCAGGCUGGAGAGGAAGUGAACACGACGACAAUCGAAAAAUGGUGAAUUAUACUUUCGAAGGCAACCUAGAGAAGACCGUGCUACAGAACCAUAGCGAUUCGGAUGUACAAAUCGAUUGUAUAACGAGAAUAUAGAGGUGAAAGACUGGUGGUACUAUCUAGUGGUUGUUUCUUUUAGUACUGCCUGAAUAUCUAGUUCUACCUAGUAAAGUGAAGAAUUAGAAUGCGUCAGGAAAAACCUAUAACCUUUUCUCUAACGUUGAACAGGCAAGUGGACCGUUUUCCGAAGAAGUAAGGUAGUUUGGAGAUGGGGACGUGUAGUUAGGAUGUCUAACGCGAGAUACUACAAAAGGUGGAGAUCAAUCUAGGCUGCAGGAUGAUGACCAUGAAGGACACUAAGAAGUCUGUAAUAAGUCAUUUCCUAAAUCAACUAACCCUGACAAUCCAUGAGACCCAGACAUUAAAUUUAUGAGGGGUCUAAGUUAUGAGUGAGAAAGCUGUAUUUAGUCAAGACAUGGAGCAGCUGGAAACGCAAGUGCAUAC